GCGGGCGUGGCGAAAUGGCAGACGCGCUGGUUUUAGGUACCAGUUCCUCGGAGUGUGGGUUCGACUCCCACCGCCCGCA
rnacentral:tRNA from 1 species